rnacentral:lncRNA from 1 species
UGUCUCCUUAUCUGCAAAGUGACUUCUCAGCGGAUUGCCUGCCCUCGGCCCUACUGCAAAAGAAUCAUCAACCUAGGGCCUGUACAUCCAGGACCUCUGAGUCCAGAACCACAGCCAAUGGGUGUCAGGGUCAUCUGUGGACAUUGCAAGAAUACGUUUCUGGUGAGGAGGGAUAUUGGGAAACCCUGGAGGAGGCAAGUACUAGGAAUAGUAAUAAAUUCUGAAAAAGACUGUCCUAUUUUGCAUUGUCCAUCCUCCCCCUUGUUUUGGGGUUCUCAUUGAAGAGAACCUUCCUUCUAUGGUUGUUUUUCUUUUUCCAUAGUGGACAGAAUUCACAGACCGAACCUUGGCACGAUGCCCUCACUGCAGAAAAGUGUCAUCUAUUGGGCGCAGAUAUCCUAGGAAGAGAUGCAUUUGCUGCUUCUUACUUGGUUUACUCUUGGCAGUCACUGCCACUGGCCUUGCUUUUGGCACAUGGAAGCCUGCACAGCAAUAUGGAGGUAUCUAUGCAGCCUGGGCGUUUGUCAUUUUGUUGGCCGUUCUAUGUUUGGGCCGGGCCCUUUACUGGGGCUGUAUGAAGGUCAGCCAUCCUGUCCAGAACUUCUCCUGAGCCCCUUGAUGCAGUGUGUGCCUGGCGGCUGCCUGGUACCACAGUAACACUACAAAAGGCUCUCUGGACUUCUAAAGGAAGCCAAACAGCUGGCUCCCUUUUCCCUGGGGAGAGGUAGGAAGGAACCAGCCCCUGACUUAGGUUUGGAGGGGUAGGGAAGACCAUUGCUGACUGGCUGCUUUCUUCCAAGGACUGCUGUUUAGGGUAAAUAGACAACAUUGCCCCUAAGCCUGGAUCCUAAAGAUGGUUCUAGCCAUGUCCUUCCUGUAUGUGCUCUUUGA